rnacentral:rRNA from 1 species
GAUGAACGCUAGCGGCAGGCUUAAUACAUGCAAGUCGAGGGGCAGCACGAAUAGCAAUAUUUGGUGGCGACCGGCGCACGGGUGCGUAACACGUAUACAACCUACCUAUAACAGGGGGAUAGCCUUUCGAAAGAGAGAUUAAUACCCCGUAAUAAAUUGAGUGGCAUCACUUGAUUUUGAAAGCUACGGCGGUUAUAGAUGGGUAUGCGUCUGAUUAGCUAGUUGGUGAGGUAACGGCUCACCAAGGCGACGAUCAGUAGGGGAUCUGAGAGGACUAACCCCCCACACUGGUACUGAGACACGGACCAGACUCCUACGGGAGGCAGCAGUAAGGAAUAUUGGUCAAUGGAGGCAACUCUGAACCAGCCAUGCCGCGUGCAGGAUGACGGCCCUAUGGGUUGUAAACUGCUUUUGUACCAGAGAAAACCUACUCACGUGUGAGUAGCUGAUAGUAUGGUAAGAAUAAGCAUCGGCUAACUUCGUG